UACGGGGGGGGCAAGCGUUGUUCGGAAUUACUGGGCGUAAAGGGUCUGUAGGUGGCUUGCUAAGUCAGACGUGAAAUCCCUCGGCUUAACCGGGGAACUGCGUCUGAUACUGGCGAGCUUGAGUGCAGGAGAGGAACGCGGAAUUCCAGGUGUAGCGGUGAAAUGCGUAGAUAUCUGGAGGAAUACCGGUGGCGAAGGCGGCAUCCUGGACCAUUACUGCCGCUGAGGCGCGAAAGCUAGGGGAGCAAACGGG
rnacentral:rRNA from 1 species